rnacentral:rRNA from 1 species
UACGAAGGGGGCGAGCGUUGUUCGGAUUUACUGGGCGUAAAGGGCGCGUAGGCUGCGGGGUAAGUCGGGUGUGAAAUCUCAGAGCUCAACUCUGAAACUGCACUCGAUACUGCUUUGCUUGAGGACUGGAGAGGAGAUUGGAAUUCACGGUGUAGCAGUGAAAUGCGUAGAUAUCGUGAGGAAGACCAGUGGCGAAGGCGGAUCUCUGGACAGUUCCUGACGCUGAGGCGCGAAGGCCAGGGGAGCAAACGGGG